rnacentral:rRNA from 1 species
AUUGAAGGCUGGCGGCAGGCUUAACACAUGCAAGUCGAGCGAGCGGCGGACGGGUGAGUAAUGUCUGGGAAACUGCCUGAUGGAGGGGGAUAACUACUGGAAACGGUAGCUAAUACCGCAUACCAUCAGAUGUGCCCAGAUGGGAUUAGCUAGUAGGUGGUGGAAUGGCUAACCUAGGCGACGAUCCCUAGCUGGUCUGAGAGGAUGACCGGCGACACUGAAACUGAGACACGGUCCUGACGCCCACGGGAGGAAGCAGUGGGGAAUAUUGGACAAUUGGCGCAAGCCUAAUGCAGCCAUGCCGCGUGUGUGAGGAAGGCCUUAGGGUUGUAAAGCACUUUCAGCGAGGAGGCGUUACUCGCAGAAGAAGCACCGGCUAACUCCGUGCCAGCAGCCGCGGUAAUUC